rnacentral:tRNA from 1 species
UUUAUAUAAUUUAAACUUAAAAAUAUUAUAUUUUCAUUAUAAUAAUAUUUAAUAAAAAAAAAUUUUAUUAAG